rnacentral:rRNA from 1 species
GUGAGGAAUAUUGCGCAAUGGAGGCAACUCUGACGCAGCCAUGCCGCGUGCAGGAAGAAGGCGCUACGCGUUGUAAACUGCUUUUAACCGGGAAGAAACCCCAGGACGUGUCCUGGGUUGACGGUACCGGAGGAAUAAGCACCGGCUAACUUCGUGCCAGCAGCCGCGGUAAUACGAAGGGUGCAAGCGUUAUCCGGAUUCAUUGGGUUUAAAGGGUGCGUAGGCGGAGCGUUAAGUCAGUGGUGAAAUCCUGCAGCUUAACUGUAGACUUGCCAUUGAUACUGGCGCUCUUGAGUGCGCUUGAAGUGGGCAGAAUGUGCCGUGUAGCAGUGAAAUGCUUAGAUAUGGCACAGAACACCAAUUGCGAAGGCAGCUCACUAAGGCGAUACUGACGCUGAGGCACGAAAGCGUGGGGAUCGAACAGGAUUAGAAACCCUUGUAGUCC